UCCUUGAAGAUAAACUAAAAAAUCAGUGAAACACAGAGUCAGCAUGAGAAAUAUAGGAGUCAUAGUACCACUAAUCAGGAGGUCUAGAAGGAGUCAUAGUUCCAAUAAUCAGGAGGUCUAGAAGGAGUCAUAGUACCACUAAUCAGGAGGUAUAGAAGGAGUCAUAGUACCACUGAUCAGGAGGUAUAGAAGGAGUCAUAGUACCACUGAUCAGGAGGUAUAGAAGGAGUCAUAGUACCACUGAUCAGGAGGUAUAGAAGGAGUCAUAGUACCACUGAUCAGGAGGUAUAGAAGGAGUCAUAGUACCACUAAUCAGGAGGUCUAGAAGGAGUCAUAGUACCACUGAUCAGGAGGUAUAGAAGGAGUCAUAGUACCACUAAUCAGGAGGUAUAGAAGGAGUCAUAGUACCACUGAUCAGGAGGUAUAGAAGGAGUCAUAGUACCACUAAUCAGGAGGUCUAGAAGGAGUCAUAGUACCACUAAUCAGGAGGUCUAGAAGGAGUCAUAGUUCCAAUAAUCAGGAGGUAUAGAAGGAGUCAUAGUACCACUGAUCAGGAGGUAUAGAAGGAGUCAUAGUACCACUGAUCAGGAGGUCUAGAAGGAGUCAUAGUACCACUAAUCAGGAGGUCUAGAAGGAGUCAUAGUACCACUGAUCAGGAGGUAUAGAAGGAGUCAUAGUACCACUGAUCAGGAGGUCUAGAAGGAGUCAUAGUACCACUAAUCAGGAGGUCUAGAAGGAGUCAUAGUUCCAAUAAUCAGGAGGUAUAGAAGGAGUCAUAGUACCACUGAUCAGGAGGUCUAGAAGGAGUCAUAGUUCCAAUAAUCAGGAGGUCUAGAAGGAGUCA